CGAGAGAUUUUUCAAGAUCUUGCUCCACUGCUGUGACACUCCUUUGGCACCGUUGAUGCACUGCUCCAGGAGAUUGUGUCAAUCUACCCUUCACUUUCACCUCCUACUUUGUCGCCAGUUGCAUCAAACCGUGUCUGCAAUGCACUUUCACUCCUUCAGUGUGUUGCUUCAUACCCUGAGACCAGGAUCCCAUUCUUGAAUG